rnacentral:rRNA from 1 species
GGUCAGGUUGAAGUUCAGGUAACACUGAAUGGAGGACCGAACCGACUUACGUUGAAAAGUGAGCGGAUGAACUGAGGGUAGCGGAGAAAUUCCAAUCGAACUUGGAGAUAGCUGGUUCUCUCCGAAAUAGCUUUAGGGCUAGCCUCAAGUGAUGAUUAUUGGAGGUAGAGCACUGUUUGGACGAGGGGCCCCUCUCGGGUUACCGAAUUCAGACAAACUCCGAAUGCCAAAUAAUUUAACUUGGGAGUCAGAAUGUGGGUGAUAAGGUCCAUAUUCGAAAGGGAAACAGCCCAGACCACCAGCUAAGGUCCCAAAAUAUAUGUUAAGUGGAAAAGGAUGUGGCGUUGCCCAGACAACUAGGAUGUUGGCUUAGAAGCAGCCAUCAUUUAAAGAGUGCGUAAUAGCUCACUAGUCGAGUGACACUGCGCCGAAAAUGUACCGGGGCUAAACAUAUUACCGAAGCUGUGGAUUGUCCUUUGGACAAUGGUAGGAGAGCGUUCUAAGGGCGUUGAAGCAUGAUCGCAAGGACAUGUGGAGCGCUUAGAAGUGAGAAUGCCGGUGUGAGUAGCGAAAGACGGGUGAGAAUCCCGUCCACCGAUUGACUAAGGUUUCCAGAGGAAGGCUCGUCCGCUCUGGGUUAGUCGGGUCCUAAGCUGAGGCCGACAGGCGUAGGCGAUGGAUAACAGGUUGAUAUUCCUGUACCACCAUUAUUCGUUUUAAGCGAUGGGGGGACGCAGUAGGAUAGGCGAAGCGUGCUGUUGGAGUGCACGUCCAAGCAGUGAGAUUGAGUGUUAGGCAAAUCCGGCACUCUUAAGAUUGAGCUGUGAUGGGGAGAGGAACUUGUUCCUCGAGUCGUUGAUUUCACACUGCCGAGAAAAGCCUCUAGCUAGAAUAACGGUGCCCGUACCGCAAACCGACACAGGUAGUCAAGAUGAGAAUUCUAAGGUGAGCGAGCGAACUCUCGUUAAGGAACUCGGCAAAAUGACCCCGUAACUUCGGGAGAAGGGGUGCUCUUUGAGGUUCACGCUUCGAAGAGCCGCAGUGAAUAGGCCCAAGCGACUGUUUAUCAAAAACACAGGUCUCUGCUAAACCGUAAGGUGACGUAUAGGGGCUGACGCCUGCCCGGUGCUGGAAGGUUAAGAGGAGUGGUUAGCGCAAGCGAAGCUACGAAUCGAAGCCCCAGUAAACGGCGGCCGUAACUAUAACGGUCCUAAGGUAGCGAAAUUCCUUGUCGGGUAAGUUCCGACCCGCACGAAAGGCGUAACGAUUUGGGCACUGUCUCAACGAGAGACUCGGUGAAAUCAUAGUACCGGUGAAGAUGCCGGUUACCCGCGACAGGACGGAAAGACCCCGUGGAGCUUUACUGUAGCCUGAUAUUGAAAUUCGGUACAGUUUGUACAGGAUAGGUAGGAGCCUUAGAAGCGUGAGCGCUAGCUUACGUGGAGGCAUUGGUGGGAUACUACCCUAAUUGUAUUGGAUUUCUAACCCGCAGCACUUAUCGUGCUGGGAGACAGUGUCAGGCGGGCAGUUUGACUGGGGCGGUCGCCUCCUAAAGAGUAACGGAGGCGCUCAAAGGUUCCCUCAGAAUGGUUGGAAAUCAUUCAUAGAGUGUAAAGGCAUAAGGGAGCUUGACUGCGAGACCUACAAGUCGAGCAGGGUCGAAAGACGGACUUAGUGAUCCGGUGGUUCCGCAUGGAAGGGCCAUCGCUCAACGGAUAAAAGCUACCCCGGGGAUAACAGGCUUAUCUCCCCCAAGAGUUCACAUCGACGGGGAGGUUUGGCACCUCGAUGUCGGCUCAUCGCAUCCUGGGGCUGUAGUCGGUCCCAAGGGUUGGGCUGUUCGCCCAUUAAAGCGGUACGCGAGCUGGGUUCAGAACGUCGUGAGACAGUUCGGUCCCUAUCCGUCGUGGGCGUAGGAAAUUUGAGAGGAGCUGUCCUUAGUACGAGAGGACCGGGAUGGACAUACCUCUGGUGUACCAGUUGUCGUGCCAACGGCAUAGCUGGGUAGCUAUGUAUGGACGGGAUAAGUGCUGAAAGCAUCUAAGCAUGAAGCCCCCCUCGAGAUGAGAUUUCCCAACUUCGGUUAUAAGAUCCCUCAAAGAUGAUGAGGUGAAU